GAUGAACGCUGACAGAAUGCUUAACACAUGCAAGUCAACUGGUGGCGGACGGAUGAGUAAGGCGUAAAGAACGUGCCUCACAGGUAGGGACAACAUGUGGAAACGAAUGCUAAUACCUAACAAGGUGAGAGAGCUUUGCGUCCCAGUAGCUAGUUGGAGAGGUAACGGCUCACCAAGGCGAUGAUGGGUAGCCGGCCUGAGAGGGUGAUCGGCCACAAGGGGACUGGGACACGGCCCGUACUCCUACGGGAGGCAGCAGUGGAGACUAUUGGACAAUGGGCCGAAGUCUGAUCCAGCAAUUCUGUGUGCACGAUGAAGUUUUCGGAAUGUAAAGUGCUUUCAGUUGGGAAGCGGUACCAACAGAAGAAGUGACGGCUAAAUACGUGCCAGCAGCCGCGGUAAUAC
rnacentral:rRNA from 1 species